UCGGAGUCUAGUACUUAGAUUACUUGUAUAGAUUUAAGUGAAUUUUUUAAAUCGUGUAAAUAUGAUUCUUUAAUCGAAUUUCUUUUAUGGAUUUGUAAUUCGAAUAGUAUUGUAAGGGGUGCGAGUAGUAAAAUCCAAACUCACUUUAUGAAGUCCCACAGCAGUUAGUGGGCUUAUGUAGGCGUGUUUCAUGGAAGGGUGUUGCUUCCUCCACCACCACAGCUUUGUCCUGCACCUCCC
rnacentral:lncRNA from 1 species